UACAAAGUGUAAAAUUCCUUACUAUAGUGAUAUCAGUUGCUCAUCUCAGGGCCGUGGUUUUUUCCCUUAUUCAGAAGGGUUUUCCACGUAAAAAUCUUGAUGUCGUUAUUACUCUUUUAUUCUUGUUUAUUACCGUAUCUCAGUGCUACAUUAUUAUUCCGCUUUUAUUACCGUGAAUAUUAUUUUGAUAGGGGUUUUAUUCCCAACACAUAAAACCAAUAAAGGCAUAAAUUAGAAGUUAAAAAAGAUUAGGUAACAAAAACCAGUUAGCAGACAACUUCAAUAAAAUUUAUAUCGCAAAUGGUAUCACAUGCAAUGUAAGAACCUGUGCGUCUUAAGAGCUUUCAUCCACGGAUUAGGCGGGGACAAGAUUCAAACAUGCAAUCUUCAAGUCAUGAGCCUAAUGAGUUGACCAAUUCUUUUAUCCCAUAUUCUCUUUCUUUAAUAUGAAGUGGAUGUGGAUUCGAACCACACAACAAUUUUCAGUCUAGCUGAGCUACUUAAACCACUUUGAAAUAAGUCUCCUUUCUUUAUGUAAUUUGGCCCCCCGGGGAUUCUAACGACGGAACUUACUUAUCAAAAAAAUAAUAAUUACGAAACUUCAACUCUUCCUAAAAUACAAGCCACAAAUAUAAACAAGUGAUCCAUAAAGUAAGAAAAUGCAAAAGGUGCUUGAACACACAUACAUCUGUUCAGUUAAAAUAAAUGCAACACAGAAGGAAAAGUUCUCUUUGACAUUUUUCUCUUCCUACUCCCUUUGUUCUUUGUAUCUUUUAAAUCUUUUAAAAUCGUUUUCUCAAAGAAAAAUUAACUCCCUUUAAUGUUUUUUCCUACUUCGCUUAUUUUUAAUCUUUAUGUGAAAAAUUCCAUUCUUAUUUGAAGCCCUACUUACCUAUGUGUUACAUGUACCUUAAGUCAAAAUAAUAGCUUGUCCGGGAAUCAUAUUAGUGGAUUUUGAGGGGUGCCUAAUACCUUUCCCUUAAAAUAAUUUCAAGCCAUUACCCAAUCUCUGGUUAUCCGACGCAAAUCCUCCUUAGUGUCCUAAUGCACUCAAAUCAUUAGGUAGCGACUCUUCACUCUAUUAAAC
rnacentral:lncRNA from 1 species